CCUACGGGUGGCAGCAGUGAGGAAUAUUGGUCAAUGGUCGGGAGCCUGAACCAGCCAAGCCGCGUGAGGGAGGAAGGUCCAGAGUAUCGUAAACCUCUUUUGUCAGGGAACAAAGUCUGGGACGCGUCCCCGGAUGAGUGUACCUUACGUAAAAGCAUCGGCUAACCCCGUGCCAGCCGCCGCGGUAAUACGGAGGAUGCGAGGGUUACCCGGUUUUAUUGGGUUUAAAGGGUGCGCAGGCGGUGUGUUAAGUCAGCGGUCAAAGCCCGGGGCUCAACCCCGGCCCGCCGUUGAAACUGGCAGACUAGAGUUGGAGAGAAGUAAGCGGAAUGCGCGGUGUAGCGGUGAAAUGCAUAGAUAUCGCGCAGAACUCCGAUGGCGAAGGCAGCAUGCCGGGUCCACACUGACGCUGAGGCACGAAAGCGUGGGUAUCGAACAGGAUUAGAUACCCCAGUAGUC
rnacentral:rRNA from 1 species